CAUCCUGCAGGUUGUUGAUUGCUAAUGAAGUUAUGGAUAUCUCUGAUGGCAGCGUCAUUCUGAAGUAAGUUAUGUGGCUUACAACAUCUAUAGUAUUUCUAACGUACUUUUAAUGUUGCUUUGGUUUAUGGUAAAUCACUGGUAGUGCUUUGGUCUGAUCAAUGAUGAAACCUAUCCCGAAGCUGAUUACCUGAAGAAAAAAAAGCACAUACGGAUUCGGCUUCUGAGAUAAGACCAAUGUGCAGAUGUGAAGUUAUUGGUGCCUGGAUUUUAUAAUUUGAGAAGUUUGUUACAUUGUGUCUUUUUUUUUUUUCCCCUCUGCCAACAGUGAGGGGUCGCUGUCUGCCUAUUGAAAGAGGCCAGAUUGCUGUGAAGUUCCUGAGAUAUUUCUGGCUAAUGCCACAAGAUUUACCGGUAUGUCGUGUGAAAAACUAAGGAAAAGCUCUUCAUUUUAUGGAUAUGGAAAGAAAAAUCAAGAUGGAUUAUAUUUUUUUUAAUUAUCCAGUCUUUAAUUAGUUAAGUAAAACUAGUUAAACUUUUUAAAAUCAAUUUUGAAUGAAUACCCUUUGGUUACAAGCUGUUUGAAUGUAAAAUGCGUCAUGGUGAUUAUAGCCAAAUGAAGGUUUUUACUAUUAUAGAAAGUUACUAAGAUGAGAGCAGAGUGGACAGAACAUAUUCCUGGGAUUGGGCUGGAAAGAAAGCCCACCAUCAAUAAUCAUUACUGGCUGAAUUAUGGAAUAUUUAGUCUUAGUGUAACAGUAUUGUGUAUUUAUUUAUGGUAUUAAGGUGUUUAUUCUGAAAACGAAGAAAGCACAAUAUAGCAAGUCAUGAGGAAGGUCACUGAUGAAAUGUAGUUUAAAAUUGUACAGACAUCCUGAAUGAAUAUAAGUGUUAAGUAAUUAAUACCAUCUGAUGUAACCAAGGUGGUUGGGCCCCAUGCAUAAUCAUUUUCCCUAAAUAGCUACAUGAAUAAAUUUUUCCCAAUCCAAAUAAAUUGGUACCCACACAAAACUUUAAGGGGAAAAAAAUACAUUUCUCUAAAACCUCAGUUAAUGUACAUUACUGCACCGUGCAUUGUGUACAACAGUUGUACACAAUGCCAAGAGAAAAGGCAAAGUACAGGAAACAAGAACAGUGCAGAAUAAGGAUGUUAAAGUGAUACAUUUGGGCAUAUGAAACACUAACCAAAGAUAUGCUUCAGAAUUGGAUCCCCAAAGGUACAAUUUCAAUGGAACUUGAAAGCUCAACAUAGAAGUUUCCAUUAGGAUUACUAAUUGAUUCAAACCUAUUACUAAACAAGGUGUACUAAUGUCAUGAUGGUGUCUUUCACACAGCACAGAUAUACUUAAAUGGUAAUAUAUAAAAAAUAAGGCAACUAAAUAAGACCAGGGACCUUAAGCUGUUACCUGUGUAAGGGAUUUAAACUUCCAGAACCAAUCUGCAACUUAAUGGACUUAGUGGAGAUCCUAAAAUGUACGGAUCUGCUGUUUGGACUGGUUUUGUGAUAAACAUAUAGAACACAGUCUACAUUUGUGUGAUGUUACUGACUAGCCAGUAAGAAUUUUCUCUCUGCUUUACACCAUUCUUUCUGAUUGCAUUAAACAGUAGGCUCAAUCCUACCAUUUGGUGUUUUGUUUUCCUUCCCAUUUGAUAUUUUCUAAAAUAAGUUCUAUUGUCAGAAAUUACAGCAUCCACUGCACUUGGAAUCCCAAUCAAGUGCCCUCUGAACUGAUUAUACACUUCAUAAUCCUUGCUGUUUGCCCAGCCUGUGUGAAAGUUUUUGACCACUUUUCAAGGGUUUUAGAGCCUCUAAAUCCCAGCCUACCAGGAUAGUCUGCUUGUCUUGCCAUUUUCUCCUUCCCAUCUUUCCUUCCAAAAGCUUGAUUCCAGAUCAAUGAUUUGCA
rnacentral:lncRNA from 1 species